GCGCUCUCUACUUGUUUAUUUUUCCUCUUCUCCCCUUUCAAGCCUCCACGCUUCUUGCUCGUGUUUAGCAUCUGAAUCGAAUUCAAACCGAUUCCGUAUUCUGCCUCUGCUCGGGAAGCUAUGUCGAAGCAGUCAGAGCAAGAAAAUCUAAACAAGUUGACACAGCAGGAGGACUUAACUAGUGCAAAUCACCGGUUGAGGUCUCAGUCGCCAGCGCCUUACGCUGUAAUGGGUGCCAGUUCUUUGGCUCCCGGGGAAUGUUCCAAUGAUAAUUGGGGAUUUUUUUAUUCUCCCGGCUAUAUCCGCCAGUUGACUCUUUCCAAACUUUUUGAUGAAGACGAAGACGAGGAGCUGUUCCGGCAAGGAUUUGGAUCUAUCACGCAAACUAGAGAAACGAAUCCGAAUUGGGAAUCAUAUUCAACGCCUAGGCCGUCGCCAGAAGAAGGAGAAGAUGGAGCUCAGAGUAUUGAACCCGACCCAACUCACCGGGAUCUCGUUGAAGAAGCUUCAGACGAACCAAGGGUAACACCUAGCCAUCUCGAAAAAGAAGGGACACCAUCUCAAGCCUGCCCUGGAAGGAAGCGUCGAAAGAUCAUCCCCAGUAAAGAGGACGAAAGAGUGCAGAAAAAAAGAGAUGCGGAUAAGAAGUAUAGAGCGGACAUUAGGAGGGAGGUAACGGAGCAUAGGAGGAUGAAGCCUGAGUACGAUAGAGUAAUGGAAGUUGCGUCCAGAUUUGGGGGGAUUGAUGAAAUGGAGUCGCAGAUGAACCACAUGAACUCUGAGUUACGUAGAAUACAACAAAAAGAGGUAGAUCGCCAAUUAUUUGAAACCGAGCUGAAUCGAUUAGGACAAAUGAAGUCAAAGUAUGGGGGAAUUGACCAAAUGGAGUUCAAGUUGGAUAAAUUUAAGCAAUUGGAGGCACAGUUCAAUCGACUGGAAUCAAUGAAAUCCAAGUACGGAGGAAUUGAGAAAAUGGAGUCCAUGUUGGAUAGAUUCAUGGUAAUGGAGGCCGAGUCCCGUAAACUAAAUGAAAUCAAAUCUAAGUUGGGAAUUCACGAAAUAGGGUCCAUACUGCAAAAAUGGAAGGAAAUGGGGGACGAAUUACGUAGAUUCAACCAAAUAAAGUCGAAAUUUGGCGGAAUAGAUGAAAUUGAGCCGAAAUCAUAGGCUAAAGAAAAUGGAGUUGCAAUUCGAAAAGCAUAAGCACACGGUGAACCAAAACCAACUUCCACUGGAAAGGAGCACAUCGCAGUUAUUGGACUUGAUUGGCGACUCUGGCAAUGUAUGGUUCAUGCGUUACACCUCUUGGUUUUUUCUUUUUUCAUUCUCUUCUUGGAUUCAACUAGAUAAUAAUGCUUCAGGUGUCAUAUCAGUGUGGGAUUAAUCUAAACUCUUUGACCACUGAGAGCGGGCAACACCUGACUUGCAGUACUCUGAUGUUCUUGUGGAUCAACUAAUCGCUAAAGUCACCGAUGAAAACGUUGCCAGCAACUUGGACACCAACAGCUUCAAAGAUUUAUUAACGGCGCUUGGGAAAAUGUCAGCAACUGCAAAAUCCCAUCAGCUCUGGUCACACCGCUCGUUCUGUUUUCGACGUCUAUGGUGAUAUCAAGAAAAAUUGUAAAUUGAGUGGCAUCACCGUUCACACAAUAUUUGUUUUGCUUUGCGCUGCGAUCAAGGAGAUGGGAGAUCUGACGCUUGAUCGAGUUACAGAAGAGAUUAUAUGGAGGUUGAGAGACCCUAUCAUGGAUGCUAAACGCUGUGAUUUUGAUGUCGGCUUUGCCAUGAAUAUUUGAAAUUGCUUGUUCAAGGCUACUUUGGUAUCAAAGCACGCAAGGACCACAAUAGCUUGGAGAAGAUCAUUACAUGUUUGAAGGCCGAUGAAGCUGCCCUGAGAACGGAGCUUGAUAAGAAUCACGAGAGAUAAUGACCAUGGAAGCCAAACAGCGGAACUAACAUCUGACAAGUGCAGGAUUUGCCUCGACUCCGCUAACAAAAUUUUGUACAAAACUGUCGGUAUUUUUUAAUUAUUUCUGUAGG